GAAAGAGAGGAAGAUAGUAUGCUACUCGCUUCGUUUAUUUUUUAAAAAAUUAAAUUUAUCUGAAAAUGUGAAUCAAUAAGGAUUCAAAUUUGAGACAUCGAAUAUUAAUUACUAAGCUUUUUACCACUUGCACAGUGGACGAUUGGUAAUAUAUAUAGCAUCUGUUUCGUUCGGGGUUAAUAGGUGGAAUAACUCUUUAAUCCCGAAGUUAUUUCCAAACAUCCAAUUUGGUGGGUGGGGUUAACUAAUCGCAUUCCAAAUUGGGUAUCACGGGAUAGAACAUUUGGGGCCCCAAUCCACUAUUCCAACCAAACAAAAUACUAUUUUACCUACUAUCCUUCUUAUCCCACUUACUCCAACUAAAUAAUAUUUUAUCUAUAUCCGGACUAAAGUCAAUUCUCAACCAAACACAAAAUUACUCUAACCCUAUCUUAACGCUGAACUUAACCCUAUUCCUGAAAUAAUAAAUUUUUACUUAACUCUGAACCAAACUGUGGCAAAAAAUUUUAUUAUGAUAAAAAUUA
rnacentral:lncRNA from 1 species